rnacentral:misc_RNA from 1 species
GAUGAAGAACGCAGCGAAAUGCGAUAAGUAGUGUGAAUUGCAGAAUUCAGUGAAUCAUCGAAUCUUUGAACGCACAUUGCGCCUUCUAGUAUUCUGGGAGGCAUGCCUGUUUGAGCGUCAUUAAACCUCUCUCAAGUAUGAUUACUUGGAUGUGAAGGAAGAGUACCUUAAACUUAAGGAGUGUUCUCCUUUGAAAUUGAUUAGCAGAUGGUAAUGUUAUUAAAUCCCUGAUGUUGUAAGAAAUAACAGUGGUUUUGUAGACUAUUAUCUAGCUUUAAAUUAUAAUUUUUAUUAUGGUUGACCUCAAAUCAGGUAGGACUACCCGCUGAACUUAAGCAUAUCAAUAAGCGGAGGA